UUUGUAUUCAUGAUCCUUUUGAGUUCAUGUUUUACUUCGAAGCCCAUCGAGACGACUGUUGUUGUGAUUUUGGGCUAUACAAAUAAAAUUGAAAUACAUAUCUACUGAUCUGUUCUCAGUGACAGUACUGAAUGUGAUCACAUAUUUAUGGAAUUGUGUGAAAUAGCUUUCGAAUUUUAUCUUAAACUUCAAAAAAAGAACUUGUUUCCAUGUGUCAUCUUAUGCUCCAAGGCUGGGAAAUACAUGGAUGAAGCAAUAUUGUCUCUUACGUAUUUGCAGUUAAAAAUAUUCUGGUACUAAACAUCAAUGCUUUGCAAUAUGAAGGCGCUCCAAGCUAAUUUUUCUGUUUGUGAUUUAAUAUUACACCACUGAUGUCUCAAAAAAGUAUUGAGGUAUAAGUAUUUCAUAAGUCCUCUUAAGGAUUGGCAUCAUGUAAAGCCAGGGGGUACCCCGCCUUCACCCAACGGUAUCUGGGAUAGGCUCCAGGAACCCUGUGACCCUGACAGGGAUUCAGCGGUUUCUGAAGAUAAAAAGAUCUACAUAUGGAUGGAUGAAUGGAUGGAGGGAUAGUAAUCAUGACUACAGGUACUUCCUAAAUCGUAAAGCUGACAUAGAAAUCGUUUUUUCAAACUUCAUCCUUUUCCCUACUUUUUGUCCAUUUUAAUACCUUUUAUUUCUUUUCUCAUAUUUUGGUUUAUUGUAAAUAACUUUAAAUGGAUUUAUAUUUUAAUGGGAUUUAUGUAUUUUUAAAAUUUUUUACAAUUUUUUUCUCACCUUUGGAAUAUAAAAUGUGCUUCAUCCCAAAUACUGAAAACAGAUCUAUGCUCAUUAAGACUGAAUGACUGUAUUGAGUAAUUUAUGAGAACUAUUAGAAGAUUUGUAUGCUACUUUUUACAUGAUGUGUUUUAUGUUUUGUAAAAAAGAAAAAAAAAACAUUCUGUGAUUACAUUUUUUUACCAUUACUUUGGUUUUGAGUAUUAAUUUGAUACUACUUUCCUCAACCUUUUAGAUUUCCACCUUAAAAGGUUGUUUGUAGUAAUUGUAAGAUGCUGUGUGACUUUUUAAAACAUUCUGAAAUAGGUGGUUGCAUUUAGCUUUUCUUGCCAACAUAAAGCCCAACCAUUUACACAGCUACAAGUAACACGAGACAGACCUACUCUGCAUGCAGUAAUUAAGAAAAUGUGGAAACCCCCAAAAGUGGUGCAACUUUCUAGCUGUGAGGGAACAGUGUUUUCAGCCUCUCCCUUAUGACAGUUUAGUGAACUUUGUAGAGAUGGGCUGUGCAUUGCACCAUUUCUGUACUUCCUUUUUAAAACAAAGCAGAAGUUUUGAGAGCAGAUGGACGGAAAUCACUCAGAAGGCUUCCUAAAAUGAGGGCAAUUUAAAA
rnacentral:lncRNA from 1 species